rnacentral:rRNA from 1 species
UAGUGAGUUUGAUCCUGGCUCAGGGUGAACGCUGGCGGCAGGCCUAACACAUGCAAGUCGAACGGGUCCUUCGGGACUAGUGGCGCACGGGUGCGUAACGCGUGGGAAUCUGCCCUCUGGUUCGGAACAACAGUUGGAAACGACUGCUAAUACCGGAUAAUGACUUCGGUCCAAAGAUUUAUCGCCUGAGGAUGAGCCCGCGUAGGAUUAGCUAGUUGGAGAGGUAAAGGCUCACCAAGGCAUCGAUCAGUAGCUGGUCUGAGAGGGGUGAUCGGCCACACUGGGACUGAGACACGGCCCAGACUCCUACGGGGAGGCAGCAGUAGGGAAUAUUGGACAAUGGGCGAAGCCUGAUCCAGCAACGCCGCGUGAGGGAUGACGGCCUUCGGGGUUGUAAACCGUCUUUCGGUAAGGACGAAGCGCAAGUGACGGUACUACUAAAGAACGCACCGGCCACUACGUGCCAGCAGCCGGUAAUCUGAUGGCGCG